rnacentral:rRNA from 1 species
CUGAAAGCAUCUAAGCGGGAAGCGAGCCCUGAGAUGAGUCAUCCCUGACCCCUUGAGGGUCCUAAAGGGCCGUUGGAGACCACAACGUUGAUAGGCGGGGUGUGUAAGUGCAGCGAUGCAUUGAGCUAACCCGUACUAAUUACCCGUGAGGCUUAACCAUACAACACCCAAGAAGUGUUCU